CGCCCAAAAGCUAGCCUACAACCCAAAACCAACACCCACUAUUAAUAACCCCUAAAACACUUAAAAAAUUAAACAAACCAUUUUUCCUUUUUAGUAUGAGAGACAGAAAAAUAUAACAGAGCUAUAGAUACAAGUACCGCAAGGGAAAGCUGAAAAAGAAAUGAAAUAAACCAUCAAAGCCAAAAAAAGCAGAGCUACAACCUCGUACCUUUUGCAUCAUGAAUUAACUAGUAAAACCUAAGCAAAAAGAUUUUUAGUUUAGUAAACCGAAACUAAGUGAGCUACUUCAAGACAGCCCAAAAGGGGGCAAACCCGUCUCUGUGGCAAAAGAGUGGGAAGAUCUUUGAGUAGAGGUGACAGACCUACCGAACUUAGUAAUAGCUGGUUAUCUGAGAAAUGAAUACAAGUUCAGCCUAUUGCUUUUUUAAACCAACCAUAAUCAUUUAUUUAGGCACCUAAAAUCAAUAGAGUUAGUCAAAAGAGGUACAGCUCUUUUGAAAAAGAUACAACUUUUAUAGGAGGAAAAAGACUAUAUUAACAAAGGCAUUACGUUUAAGUGGGCCUAAAAGCAGCCAACCCGAGAGAAAGGCUCAAAGCUCAAACAUAAAGAAAGCCCUUAAUAAUAGUAAACAAAUCUCAAACCCCUUAAUUUAUCAGAAUUUUCCACUAAGUGUGGAAACAAUUAUGUUAAUAUGAGUAAUAAGAGGCACAAACCUCUCCAAGCACAAGUGUAAAUCAAUACAGAUUAACUAUUGAAUAUUAACGGCCCCAAAUAAAGAGGGUAUUACAAAAAAAAUAUAAAACAAGAAAACCUUGUACAAAUAACCGUUAACCCCACACUGGUGUGCCUUCCGGAAAGACUAAAAGAAAAAGAAGGAACUCGGCAAAUAAAAGCCUCGCCUGUUUACCAAAAACACCGCCUCUUGCAACUCAAGUAUAAGAGGUCCCGCCUGCCCUGUGACACCAGUUUAACGGCCGCGGUAUUUUAACCGUGCAAAGGUAGCGCAAUCACUUGUUUUUUAAAUGAAGACCUGUAUGAAUGGCAUAACGAGGGCUUAACUGUCUCCUUUUUCCAGUCAAUGAAAUUGAUCUCCGCGUGCAGAAGCGGGGAUAAACCCAUAAGACGAGAAGACCCUGUGGAGCUUUAGAUAAUAUGAUGGACCAUGUUAACUAAACCUUACUUAACAAGAACAAACCAAUUGGAACCCACCUUAAUAUCUUUGGUUGGGGCGACCGCGGGGCAAUAAAAAACCCCCAUGUGGAAUAAGAGAAUCUUCUCUUAUAACCAAGACUGACAAGUCUAAGCAUCAGAACAUUUGACCAAAAAUGAUCCGGCAAUGCCGAUUAACGAACCGAGUUACCCUAGGGAUAACAGCGCAAUCCUCUCCUAGAGACCCUAUCGACGAGAGGGUUUACGACCUCGAUGUUGGAUCAGGACAUCCUAAUGGCGCAGCCGUUAUUAAGGGUUCGUUUGUUCAACGAUUAAAGUCCUACGUGAUCUGAGUUCAGACCGGAGAAAUCCAGGUCAGUUUCUAUCUAUGAUGUCUCUUCCCCUAGUACGAAAGGACCGAAGAAGAAAGGCCUAUACUUAAAGCAAGCCUUACCCUUACCUAAUUGAUACCCACUCAAAUAGGUAAAAGAGGACAUCAUCCUUCCAAAGAUAAUGGCUU
rnacentral:rRNA from 1 species